rnacentral:tRNA from 1 species
GCUUUCGUAGCUCAGUUGGUUAGAGCACCCGUUUAGUAAGCGGGAGGUCUACUCUCAACGAAAGCA